GCAUAUCAAUAAGCGGAGGAAAAGAAAAUAACAAUGAUUCCCUCAGUAACGGCGAGUGAAGUGGGAUGAGCUCAAAUUUUAAAUCUAUUGGGUACCUACCUAAUAGAGUUGUAUUUUGAAGAAACUGUUCUCUGCGUCCUGGAUUAACCCAAAUCCUUUGGAAUAAGGUAUCAUGGAGGGUGAGAAUCCCGUUCAUGGUUAAUCUUAAGGAUGCUUUACGAUACGUUUUCCAAGAGUCGAGUUGUUUGGGAUUGCAGCUCAAAAUGGGAGGUAAAUUUCUCCUAAAGCUAAAUAUUGGCGAGAGACCGAUAGCAAACAAGUACCGUGAGGGAAAGAUGAAAAGAACUUUGAAAAGAGAGUUAAAUAGUACGUGAAAUUGUUGGAAAGGAAACGAUUUAAAGUCAGUCAUACCAACGGGAAAUCAACCUUUUGAGUUCGGUCUUGUGGGCUUGAAGAGUUUCAAAGCCUUCGGAUUUGUGAGAUUGGGAUCUCUUGGUGCACUUUUUCGUACGGUUAGUCAACAUCGGUUUUAAUCAUUAUAAAAUGGUUGAAGGAAUGUAACUUUGAUUUCGAUCGAGGUAUUAUAGCCUUUGACAGAUGUAAUGAUCAAGACCGAGGAUUGCAACGGAUACCCUUCAGGGCUAUUCGUCUGAUCUUUGGCACUUGUCUAUAGUAUCGGAAGCUUGCUAACGAUAUUAGGGUUCACGGGUCAAAGGUUGGAACGGAUUAAAUUCGUUAAGGAUGUUGACGUAAUGGCUUUAAACGAC
rnacentral:rRNA from 1 species